rnacentral:rRNA from 1 species
ACGAACGCUGGCGGCGUGCUUCACACCUGCCAGUCGAACGGAAAGGCCCUGCUUUUGUGGGGUGCUCGAGUGGCGAACGGGUGAGUAACACGUGAGUAACCUGCCCUUGACUUUGGGAUAACUUCAGGAAACUGGGGCUAAUACCGGAUAGGAGCUCCUGCUGCAUGGUGGGGGUUGGAAAGUUUCGGCGGUUGGGGAUGGACUCGCGGCUUAUCAGCUUGUUGGUGGGGUAGUGGCUUACCAAGGCUUUGACGGGUAGCCGGCCUGAGAGGGUGGCCGGCCACAUUGGGACUGAGAUACGGCCCAGACUCCUACGGGAGGCAGCAGUGGGGAAUAUUGCACAAUGGGCGGAAGCCUGAUGCAGCAACGCCGCGUGCGGGAUGACGGCCUUCGGGUUGUAAACCGCUUUCGCCUGUGACGAAGCGUGAGUGACGGUAAUGGGUAAAGAAGCACCGGCUAACUACGUG